UACGUAGGUCCCGAGCGUUGUCCGGAUUUAUUGGGCGUAAAGCGAGCGCAGGUGGUUUAUUAAGUCUGGUGUAAAAGGCAGUGACUCAACCAUUGUAUGCAUUGGAAACCGGUAGACUUGAGUGCAGGAGAGGAGAGUGGAAUUCCAUGUGUAGCGGUGAAAUGCGUAGAUAUAUGGAGGAACACCGGUGGCGAAAGCGGCUCUCUGGCCUGUAACUGACACUGAGGCUCGAAAGCGUGGGGAGCAAACAGG
rnacentral:rRNA from 1 species